AGAAUGAACGUUGGCGGCGUGGAUUAGGCAUGCAAGUCGAACGCCCCGCGAGGGGAGUGGCGCAAGGGUGAGUAAGGCGACGGUAACCAACCCCGGGAAUGGGUAUAGCCGAGGGAAACUUCGGGUAAUCCCCAGCGACGUGGCGGAGCGGCAUCGCUCCUCCACCAAAGCCCCGGCGUCCUGGGACGGGCCGUCGUGGUAUUAGGUAGUUGGCGGGGUAACGGCCACCAAGCCAUCGAUGCCUACCGGGCUGCGAGCGUGGCCCGGCACACUGGGACUGAGACACUGCCCAGACUCCUACGGGAGGCUGCAGUCGAGAAUCUUCGGCAAUGGGGGCAACCCUGACCGAGCGACGCCGCGUGGAGGAUGAAGGCCUUCGGGUUGUAAACUCCGUGUCCGGAAGGGGGGACGGAAAGGGGAAACCUUGGACCGAAGUCCCUGGAGGAAGGAACGGGCUAAAGUUCGUGCCAGCAGCCGC
rnacentral:rRNA from 1 species